rnacentral:tRNA from 1 species
AUAAAGUUGGCAGAGUAGUGUGAAUAAUUUAGGUUUAUUUUAUAAGAUAAUAUCUUACUUUAUA